rnacentral:rRNA from 1 species
GACGGAGGAUGCAAGCGUUAUCCGGAAUGAUUGGGCGUAAAGCGUCCGCAGGUGGCAGUUCAAGUCUGCUGUCAAAGACCGGGGCUUAACUUCGGAAAGGCAGUGGAAACUGAACAGCUAGAGUAUGGUAGGGGCAGAGGGAAUUCCUGGUGUAGCGGUGAAAUGCGUAGAGAUCAGGAAGAACACGGUGGCGAAAGCGCUCUGCUGGACUGCAACUGACACUCAGGGACGAAAGCUAGGGGAGCGAAUGGG